CACAGGUGCUGCAUGGCGUGUCGUCAGCUCGUGUCGUGAGAUGUUGGGUUAAGUCCGUAACGAGCGCAACCCUUGUCCUUAGUUACCAGCACGUUAUGGUGGGCACUCUAAGGAGACUGCCGGUGACAAACCGGAGGAAGGUGGGGAUGACGUCAAGUCAUCAUGGCCCUUACGGCCUGGGCUACACACGUGCUACAAUGGUCGGUACAAAGGGUUGCCAAGCCGCGAGGUGGAGCUAAUCCCAUAAAACCGAUCGUAGUCCGGAUCGCAGUCUGCAACUCGACUGCGUGAAGUCGGAAUCGCUAGUAAUCGUGAAUCAGAAUGUCACGGUGAAUACGUUCCCGGGCCUU
rnacentral:rRNA from 1 species